UUUUGAACCAGAGGCGGUUGCAGGAAAUGAUUAAACGGUUCACUUAUUCGACUCUAUACGUUUGAAUCCCAUCCCCGUAAUGUCUAUAAUCUCAAUUUCGAGGUUAUAUACGCUAUAAAGUUCGAAAUUCAAGAUGGAUCGCGGGAGGCCGCUUUUUAUGAAAACGUAUAGCAAGCAUCUUCGGCAAAUCCCUGCCUGGAUCUCUCCUGACAGCCACAAACUGGCAUUCGACUCCAGCCUCUCCACCGGGGCGGACUCCUCUGUCUGGGAGCCCCCCAUAGCCCCGGAGAUCAGCAUGGAGAGCGCUACUUUCGCCAGCCGUAAGGGAAGGCGACCUGCCAAACGAAAAGUGUCGGUGUGUCAGAAGGAGAAGGAAAACACGUCCCCUGCCGUUGAUCCUCCGGUUAAGCAGAGGAAGAAGUACAGCAGGUGGACGACUGCCAAGCCGCCAUUAGACAGUAGCGAGAGCGAAGUGGACUUCACAUCUCGCCCGAAAAGAAGUAAGGUUACUGCGCAACGGAAGAAAAAGUUGAUAAAUGUCCCUGUUCCUUCAGCGGGCCGCUACGUGACCCUCCGCAGGGCAGCCCCCCCGCGCGCUGUCCGCGGUAAGGCCAGCUGCAGCUUCCUGAACUCCUCUGCUGAGUUUGUGGCGAACCAAGAGUCCGUCGCGCCCCGUCGGAUCCUCCUGCCGGCCACCGCUCUUCAGAGCUGCACCUCGGACGUGUCCGAGCCAGGCUCGGUGACUCUGAGCCUCGUCGCCGACCCACACCGACCGGAGGUUUCCCCGGCGGACGCCGCCAAGCGCGUUCUCGGACCCUCUCCCAGCAAGCCCCUCUUCUGCUCCACUCCGUCGGUCUCUCGGCGCCGAAGUCCCGCUGCCGCCACGGUCGCCGCCGCUGCCCCUCCCCAGGACACCUUGAGCCAUUUGAGUUUCCUCUGUACGUCCCAAGAGGACCCGCACUCGCCGGGGGACCCGUUCCACGCUCCCAAUGCCAAGAGCCGAGAUGAGGAGACGGGGUGUCCCUACGUGAUGGACGGCAUCCCCUUCCCAGCCGCCUCCUCCCACAUAUCCUCUGACACCGACAACGACAGCUGCUUCGUGUCUGCGCCGGCAUGGCCGGAAUGGCCGGAAUGGAUGUUGGAGGUUUUAAAGCAUAUCUGUCUGACCGAGCACUGCACUGUGGCGUUGGAGAGGUUGGAAAAGCUGAUCCCAGGAUACCUGGAUGGGUCAAGUUCAGGCCAUUUUCAGAAAACACCCCGGUCGACGGAGUCUGUCGACGACAGCCACUCGGUGGACCCAGCGCGGUCCGAGGGGAACGGAGCGACCCCUGACCCGACCCCGACGUUGCACGCCGGGGACGUUACUGAGCGACAGCCCGCCGUGUCCGCCCACGGCGAUCGGACGGCGGGCUUUUCACAGUCAGCCUCGAGCUCCGCCGACCGUCAGUCGGCACAGUUUACCGACGGUUUCGUGUCAGUGGAUAACACAACUUGUUCAGAGGACUCCGAGGACCUGUCUUGUGUCUGUAUAGAUCCUACCUACAAUGUUGAUGAUGAUGAGGACGACGAAGAGGAGGAGGUGGAUGUGGAUCGGGACAACGACGAGGACAGUGAUUGUAGUGUGGCGGGUGCAAGAGGCACUCACCCACUGGAGGACAGCCCUCCCGUCGAAGAGCGGGGCGCAGCCCUCAGGCCGAAGGAGUGCCAUGUUCCCCUCCGGAGAGUGUCUUUGUCUCCGCAGCCCGCGACUACGCCGCUCCAACUUGAAGCAUCCAGUCCGAGGAGUCACACUGUCGAACAAACCGAAAGCUCCUCUGCUCCUCAAACGGAUCAGGCAGGACGCAAGCGUGACAGGACGAGUACCGCUAGUCGGUGCAGGGCGGUCCCAUGCCCGACUCCUCCUCCCCCGGACCGGGGGGGCGGUGCAGCCGGGCCCCCGGAACCUGCAACCACGCCGCAGGAGGCGUGUCUCACAAAGCCCUGCGCCGUGCUGGUCAAGAGGACCCCAGACCCCGGCCCGGCCCCCCGGAGCGGCCCGGCCCCAGACGGACCUGAGCCCGACGAAGCCAAGCGGCCCGCACGCUCUCCCAGGAGAAGGAGCUCCUCGAAGGGCGUCCCGGAGGUGGCCGUCGCUCCACACGCCCGGGCAGCUGAGCCUCUCUCAAAGCCCGCCCAAAGGAAGGCGGCGUCCAAGGCUCCAAAAGUGAAGAGGAAGAGGUGCUUGUCCAAGGACCAGGGGUCCGGGACGGCGAGGAAGGCGUGCGUCAGCGGCCUGAGCGUCAGUCGCUGGAAGGACCAGAGCAACACCAGCAGCACCCUCCUGUUCCAGGCCCCCCGCGGGGCCCCGAAGGCCGGAGAAUGCAGCUUCACGGAGCCGCUCUCCCUGCAGCAUAAACCAUCCACGGUGUGGAGCCCGGGCCCCCUUCGUGGCAGCGGUGGACUGCUGUCCUCCCCAGUCCGGGCCCUCGGCCUCAACCUGUCCUCCGUGCUGGCACACUUCACGCCCAACACGCACACCUGGAGCCGACUGAAGGCGUCCCUCUCCGUGCACCGCAAGAAGAGAGUCGUGGUCAAUCUCGAAGACUCCUUCAGUAGGGACAUCAGCACGGAGCUCUUUGCCACGUCCACUCAAACCCCAUCCCGGGAAUAUAGCAGGGCCUCGCUGCUGCUCAGCCCCCCUCAGGUACGCACACACUGACCAACCCCUAAUGUUUGUAGUUAUUUAUUGUACAUUUGUUUACAGAAUACCAUUGGUGCACCUGUACCAUACACCUAUCCUAAAAGCAUCAAAGUAUUUGUGUAUUCCACUAGAAUAAAUCUAGACAUCAACCCCUGCGUCUGGCUCAACCCUCUCCCUCACCUCUCCCCCCUCUGGCUCUCCCCUCUCCCUGCCUCCCUCUGGCUCUCCCUCCCCCCUCUGGCUCCCCCC
ensembl:lncRNA